rnacentral:rRNA from 1 species
CGACCGGCGCACGGGUGAGUAACACGUAUCCAACCUGCCCUUUACUCGGGGAUAGCCUUUCGAAAGAAAGAUUAAUACCCGAUGGCAUAAUGAUUCCGCAUGGUUUCAUUAUUAAAGGAUUCCGGUAAAGGAUGGGGAUGCGUUCCAUUAGGUUGUUGGUGAGGUAACGGCUCACCAAGCCUUCGAUGGAUAGGGGUUCUGAGAGGAAGGUCCCCCACAUUGGAACUGAGACACGGUCCAAACUCCUACGGGAGGCAGCAUG